UACAGGGGGUGCUAGCGUUGUUCGGAAUUACUGGGCGUAAAGGGCGCGUAGGCGGCUUAACAAGUCAGGUGUGAAAUCUCGGGGCUUAACUCCGAAAGUGCAUUUGAAACUGUUAGGCUAGAGUGCAGUAGAGGUUGGUGGAAUUCCCAGUGUAGAGGUGAAAUUCGUAGAUAUCGGGAGGAACACCAGUGGCGAAGGCGGCGAUCUGGGAAGAUACUGACGCUGAGGUGCGAAAGCGUGGGGAGCAAACAGG
rnacentral:rRNA from 1 species